AAGUCGUAACAAGGUAACCGUAGGUGAACCUGCGGUUGGAUCAUUACCAAAAAAAACUUUUUGUAAUUUCUUCUUUAAUGAAGGGACAAAUUGGGGAUUAUUUUAACCGUUUAUCGUUUGGCAAAUUGAGUAGCCUCUGCCGGGAGUCGUCUAAAAUAAACCCAGUUCUUGUAACUGUGAUUAGAUUAGGCGCGGGUGGCAGUAUCCCCACUGACACUCUACGCUUUCCACUAGAGGCGCGUUCUCUUGAAAGAGAGACCGGUUUGCCAACGUUUUUCUAUUAAACCUUUUUAAUUAUAUGCGGCUAAGAUUUCAUGAUUUUUUUCUUUUACUAGAAAAAAAUUAAAUAAUUGUUGACAAACAACUUUUGACAACGGAUCUCUUGGCUCUC
rnacentral:misc_RNA from 1 species